GUCCUAGCGGUAAACGAUGGAUACUAGGUGUCGGGGGUAUCGACCCCCUCGGUGCCGAAGCUAACGCAUUAAGUAUCCCGCCUGGGGAGUACGACCGCAAGGUUGAAACUCAAAGAAAUUGACGGGGGCCCGCACAAGCGGUGGAGUAUGUGGUUUAAUUCGAGGCAACGCGAAGAACCUUACCUGGGCUUGACAUGUUUGAGACCAACCGGUGAAAGCCGGUCUUCCCUUCGGGGACUCUUGCACAGGUGCUGCAUGGCUGUCGU
rnacentral:rRNA from 1 species